AACGAACGCUGGCGGCAUGCCUAACACAUGCAAGUCGAACGAGACCUUCGGGCCUAGUGGCGCUCGGGUGCGUACCGCGUGGGAACCUGCCCUUAGGUUCGGAAUAACUCCCCGAAAGGGGUGCUAAUACCGGAUAAUGUCUUAGGACAAAAGAUUUAUCGCCUUUGGAUGGGCCCGCGUUGGAUUAGGUGGUUGGUAGGGUAAAAGCAUACCAAGGCGAGGAUCCAGAGCUGGUCUGAGAGGAUGAUAAGUCACACUGGGACUGAGACACGGCCCAGACUGCUACGGGAGGCAGCAGUGGGGAAUAUUGGACGAUGGGCGAAGGUCUGAUACAGCAAUGCCGGGGAAGUGAUGAAGGCGUUAGGGUUGUAAAGCUGUUUUACCCGGGAUGAUAAUGACAGUACCGGGAGAAGAAGCACCGGCUAACUCCGUG
rnacentral:rRNA from 1 species